rnacentral:rRNA from 1 species
UACGUAGGGAGCAAGCGUUGUUCGGAUUUACUGGGCGUAAAGGGCGCGUAGGCGGCGCGGUAAGUCACUUGUGAAAUCUCUGAGCUUAACUCAGAACGGCCAAGUGAUACUGCAGUGCUAGAGUGCAGAAAGGGCAAUCGGAAUUCUUGGUGUAGCGGUGAAAUGCGUAGAGAUCGUAAGGAAGGCCAGUGGCGAAGGCGAGUUCCUGGACAGUUACUGACGCUGAGGCACGAAGGCCAGGGGAGCAAACGGG